ensembl:misc_RNA 7SK 7SK RNA
AGAUGUGAGAGCAAUCCAGCUGCAAGAUGACACACCCUGUUGGUGACCAGGGUUGAUUCAACUGACCCGGCUGAGUAGGAGCGUGUCCCCUCCCUCCCUCACUGCUCCAUGUGCGUUCUGUGGACUCAGUGGAAGAGGAUGACCUUCCCGGAUGGAGGAGGACCAUUCUUCCCUGGAGGAUACACAAGUAGCUACACUCCCCAGCUGGAACCUCCAAACCUGCCCCCAGGAAAGUUCCCAGGUGAUGCUAAGCAUAGCCAAGCUUGAGAGCCACUGCUUAAAGCUAAACUGAGAUCAAGGAUU